GGGGAUAUAGUGUAAUGGUAUCACGUUUGCUUCGCAUGCAUAUAAUCCGAGUUCGAUUCUCGGUGUCUCCA